UACGUAGGGUGCAGGCGUUAAUCGGAAUUACUGGGCGUAAAGCGUGCGCAGGCGGUCUGCUAAGACAGGUGUGAAAUCCCCGGGCUUAACCUGGGAACUGCGCUUGUUACUGGCAGGCUGGAGUGUGGCAGAGGGGGGUGGAAUUCCACGUGUAGCAGUGAAAUGCGUAGAGAUCGGGAGGAACAUCAGUGGCGAAGGCGGCCAUCUGGGACAACACUGACGCUGAGGCACGAAAGCGUGGGGAGCAAACGGG
rnacentral:rRNA from 1 species